AUACGGAAGGUCCGGGCGUUAUCCGGAUUUAUUGGGUUUAAAGGGAGCGCAGACGGCCUGUUAAGCGUGCAGUGAAAUGUGGGUGCUCAACAUCUGCACUGCUGCGUGAACUGGCGGGCUUGAGUUGUCUGGAGGUGCGCGGAAUUCGUGGUGUAGCGGGGAAAUGCUUAGAUAUCACGAGGAACCCCGAUUGCGAAGGCAGCGCACCGUUGGCACACUGACGUUGAGGCUCGAAGGUGCGGGUAUCGAACAGGAUUAGAUACCCUGGUAGUCCGCACGGUAAACGAUGGAUGCCCGCUGUCGGCGAUACACUGCCGGCGGCCAAGCGAAAGCGUUAAGCAUCCCACCUGGGGAGUACGCCGGCAACGGUGAAACUCAAAUGAAUUGGCGGGG
rnacentral:rRNA from 1 species